rnacentral:rRNA from 1 species
GGCGAACGGGUUGAGUAACGCAUCGGAACGUGCCCAACAGUUGGGGGAUAGCCCGGCGAAAGCCGGAUUAAUACCGCAUACGACCUGAGGGUGAAAGCGGGGGAUCGCAAGACCUCGCGCUGAUGGAGCGGCCGAUGUCAGAUUAGGUAGUUGGUGGGGUAAAGGCCUACCAAGCCGACGAUCUGUAGCUGGUCUGAGAGGACGACCAGCCACACUGGGACUGAGACACGGCCCA